rnacentral:rRNA from 1 species
UGGGGAAUAUUGGACAAUGGGCGAAAGCCUGAUCCAGCCAUGCCGCGUGAGUGAUGAAGGCCUUAGGGUUGUAAAGCUCUUUUGUCGGGGACGAUAAUGACGGUACCCGAAGAAUAAGCUCCGGCUAACUUCGUGCCAGCAGCCGCGGUAAUACGAAGGGAGCUAGCGUUGUUCGGAAUCACUGGGCGUAAAGCGCACGUAGGCGGAUUUGUAAGUCAGGGGUGAAAUCCCGGGGCUCAACCUCGGAACUGCCUUUGAUACUACAGAUCUCGAGUCCGAUAGAGGUGGGUGGAAUUCCUAGUGUAGAGGUGAAAUUCGUAGAUAUUAGGAAGAACACCGGUGGCGAAGGCGGCCCACUGGAUCGGUACUGACGCUGAGGUGCGAAAGCGUGGGAGCAAACAG